GAUGAAGAACGCAGCGAAAUGCGAUAAGUAGUGUGAAUUGCAGAAUUCAGUGAAUCAUCGAAUCUUUGAACGCACAUUGCGCCCUUUGGUAUUCCUUAGGGCAUGCCUGUUCGAGCGUCAUUUAAACCUUCAAGCUCAGCUUGGUGUUGGGUGACUGUCCGCUUCACCGCGGACUCGCCUCAAAAUUAUUGGCGGCCGGUACAUUGGCUCUCGAGCGCAGCAGAAACGCGUAACUCGAGGUCCUCGUGCUGGCUCCCAAAAGCUAUCUUCACAAUUUUGACCUCGGAUCAGGUAGGGAUACCCGCUGAACUUAAGCAUAUCAAUAAGCGGAGGA
rnacentral:misc_RNA from 1 species